AUUGAACGCUGGCGGCAUGCUUUACACAUGCAAGUCGAACGGCAGCACGGGUGCUUGCACCUGGUGGCGAGUGGCGGACGGGUGAGUAAUACAUCGGAACGUGUCCAGAAGAGGGGGAUAACGCAUCGAAAGAUGUGCUAAUACCGCAUAUACUCUAAGGAGGAAAGCAGGGGAUCGAAAGACCUUGCGCUUUUGGAGCGGCCGAUGUCUGAUUAGCUAGUUGGUGGGGUAAGGGCCUACCAAGGCGACGAUCAGUAGUUGGUCUGAGAGGACGACCAGCCACACUGGGACUGAGACACGGCCCAGACUCCUACGGGAGGCAGCAGUGGGGAAUUUUGGACAAUGGGCGCAAGCCUGAUCCAGCAAUGCCGCGUGAGUGAAGAAGGCCUUCGGGUUGUAAAGCUCUUUCAGUCGAGAAGAAAAGGACUGCAGUGAAUAACUGUAGUUUAUGACGGUAUCGACAGAAGAAGCACCGGCUAACUACGUG
rnacentral:rRNA from 1 species